GACGAACGCUGGCGGCGUGCUUAACACAUGCAAGUCGAACGAUGACGACCGAGCUUGCUCGGUCUGAUUAGUGGCGAACGGGUGAGUAACACGUGAGCAACCUGCCCUUCACUCUGGGAUAACCUCGGGAAAUCGGGGCUAAUACCGGAUAUGAGCUCCUGUCGCAUGGCGGGUGUUGGAAAGUUUUUCGGUGAAGGAUGGGCUCGCGGCCUAUCAGUUUGUUGGUGAGGUAGUGGCUCACCAAGGCGAUGACGGGUAGCCGGCCUGAGAGGGCGACCGGCCACACUGGGACUGAGACACGGCCCAGACUCCUACGGGAGGCAGCAGUGGAGAAUAUUGCACAAUGGGCGAAAGCCUGAUGCAGCGACGCCGCGUGAGGGAUGACGGCCUUCGGGUUGUAAACCUCUGUCAGCAGGGAAGAAGCGAAAGUGACGGUACCUGCAGAAGAAGCGCCGGCUAACUACGUG
rnacentral:rRNA from 1 species